AGGAUGACCUGGACCGGUCUCGCGCUCUCCGGUGCUUCCUACGAAAACAGAAGAGCCAGGGAUUUAAAUCACCAAGCUCCAGGGUACAGCCCUUGGCUGGGGACUCACUGGAAGAACACUACUGGCCUAAUUUAGGCCUGUUCUAGAGACUGAACAAACAAUAUGCUUCAACACUUCACAAUGACAUAGCAGAGCCAAACUAAACACCCAUCUCCCAGGAGGCCUUCUCUGGACAAGGAUCAUACCCCUACUUUGAUGCAGAAGUUGUUUUCAAGCCAGGGACCUUACUUGACAGUUACAGG